GGUCCCAUGUGGCUCAGUUGGUAGAGCAUGGCACUUCCAAUGGCAGGGUUGUGGGUUCGAUUCCCAUGGGGGACCA